UACGUAGGGGGCAAGCGUUGUCCGGAUUUAUUGGGCGUAAAGAGCGUGUAGGCGGCCGCACAGGUCCGUUGUGAAAACUGGAGGCUCAACCUUCAGACGUCGAUGGAAACCGUGCGGCUAGAGUCCGGAAGAGGAGAGUGGAAUUCCUGGUGUAGCGGUGAAAUGCGCAGAUAUCAGGAAGAACACCCGUGGCGAAGGCGGGUCUCUGGACAGUUCCUGACACUGAGGCACGAAGGCCAGGGGAGCAAACGGG
rnacentral:rRNA from 1 species